AACGAACGCUGGCGGCGCGCCUAAUACAUGCAAGUCGAGCGAGAAGACGUAGCAAUACGUUUGUAAAGCGGCGAACGGGUGAGGAAUACAUGGGUAACCUACCCUCGAGUGGGGAAUAACUAGCCGAAAGGUUAGCUAAUACCGCGUACGCUCCUUGGACUUCGGUUCAUGGAGGAAAGCGAUACCGUGGGUAUCGCGCUCUUGGAUGGGCUCAUGUCCUAUCAGCUUGNGGUGAGGUAGCGGCUCACCAAGGCUUCAACGGGUAGCUGGUCUGAGAGGACGAUCAGCCACACUGGCACUGCGACACGGGCCAGACUCCUACGGGAGGCAGCAGUAAGGAAUAUUGCGCAAUGGGACGAAAGCCUGACGCAGCGACGCCGCGGUGGGGGAUGGAAGG
rnacentral:rRNA from 1 species